rnacentral:rRNA from 1 species
AGCAGCCGCGGUAAUUCCAGCUCCAAUAGCGUAUAUUAAAGUUGUUGCAGUUAAAAAGCUCGUAGUUGAAUUUCGGGGUUAGUAGGUUGGUCAUGCCUCUGGUAUGUACUGGUCUCACUGAUUCCUCCUUCCUGAUGAGCCGUAAUGCCAUUAAUUUGGUGUUGCGGGGAAUUUGGACUGUUACUUUGAAAAAAUUGAGUGUUUAAAGCAAGCUAACGCUUGAAUACAUUAGCAUGGAAUAAUGAAAUAGGACGUUCGAUCCUAUUUUGUUGGUUUCUAGGAUUGACGUAAUGAUUAAUAGGGAUAGUUGGGGGCAUUAGUAUUCAAUUGUCAGAGGUGAAAUUCUUGGAUUUAUUGAAGACUAACUACUGCGAAAGCAUUUGCCAAGGAUGUUUUCAUUAAUCAAGAACGAAAGUUAGGGGGAUCGAAGACGAUCAGAUACCGUCGUAGUACCUUAACCAUAAAACUAUGCCGUACUAGGGAUCGGAUGAUAGUUUAAUUUUUUAAUGUACUUAGUUCGGCGUCCUUACGGGAAACCUAAA